GGGGGAAUAGCUCAGCUGGUAGAGCACCGGCUUUGCAAGCCGGGUGUCAGGGGUUCGAUUCCCCUUUCCUCCA
rnacentral:tRNA from 1 species